UAUGAGCUGAAAAGACCGGAUUAAGCAGAAGUUUGCCGCAGCAUGAUUUACGAAAUUGGGAGAUUCGUGUUAAUGAUAUUAUGUUGUAUAGCAAACACCGUCGCCCCUGAUCAAUCCCCACCCAAAAUAUCCGUGCGCACGAAAGGAGAAUCGGUGGAAGAGGGUGGGAGACAAAACUUUUUUCCCCCAAAAGUUUGUGUAAGCUUUCACUUUCAGCCUUCUAGGCGGGGUUACAGUACAGCAUGGAGUGAGCGAAACAGGACGGCGAGCGAUUGCAAUGCAGCACUACAGCGAACUUCCAUCCAACUUAAAUAAGCUCUCCAAUUUUCAUUUCUAAAAAUAACCAUGUACUCCCCGUACUGCUUGACACAGUAUUGCACUACUCACCUUCUAAACAAUCCAUUAGUGUUUGUAGCCCAGCAGCACCGAUUGGCCCGAAAGUAGCCUACUAGCCGUCUAUUCAAGCAGAUAGGCCUAAUGUUUAGCAAAAGUAAGUCACAUAAUUUCAUGAUGUCAUCUAAAAUUUGCUAACUUGUUGCCUUGGAAAUGUAUCUUGCUUUUCCCAUUUUCAUGCAAUUAACCCUUGAGUGGCAAACCCAAAAUGUUUUACCAUUAACCCAUUAUUUGCAUGCAUAUUUGAGACAGAAAGACUAAACAUAUAUUUGUAGAUUUUAGAAACAAUUUAGUCCUAAGGAACAUAUUUCUUGUUGCAAGUCAUCUUUGUAUUGCAGAUCAAUUAAAAAUUCAUCUUUGUCUUAAUUACCUCCAUGGAUACAUUUGUGGCUUAAUCACAUGCCUAAAUGAUCCUAAAUUAUGUUA
ensembl:lncRNA